rnacentral:rRNA from 1 species
CACGUAGGCGGGAAGACAAGUUGGAAGUGAAAACCAUGGGCUCAACCCAUGAAUUGCUUUCAAAACUGUUUUUCUUGAGUAGUGCAGAGGUAGAUGGAAUUCCCGGUGUAGCGGUGGAAUGCGUAGAUAUCAGGAAGAACACCGAUGGCGAAGGCAGUCGGCUGGGGACUUACUGACGCUGAGGCUCGAAAGCGCGGGUAGCAAACA